AAUAGGUUUUUUUUUAGUCUUCUAAACUAAUUUUGGGUUUUCCGUCUAUUU
rnacentral:tRNA from 1 species